rnacentral:snRNA from 1 species
GUGCUUGCUGGGCAGCACAUAUACUAAAACUGGAACGAUACAGAGAAGAUUAGCAUGGCCCCUGGGUAAGGAUGACAUGCAAAUUCGUGAAGCGUUCCAUAUUAAA